UACAUGCAAAAUCAAACUUCUGCUGUUAUUUUGGUGAAAGUAAUGCAAAAGUAUUGUUCUGCAUUUACUCACAGGUUUCCGGAAGAAGAUGCAGAAGAAGGGGAUAAAAGAACAAUGAAAUCCUCCUUGCAUGGACCAGGUCUGUCAUAAAUCAUAUGUGGUUUUCCUGUGCAACCAGUAAGGGGGACAUCGAGGAGAAGCACGGUUCAACCAAAUGUUCUGCAAGAAAUCCAAGCAGUGGGUCUUGAAGAAAAGCUUCAUACCACACACCACACAGUUUGUAGACGAACUCAUCCAGAAGGUCAUUGACAAGACUCAAUCCAAACAUUG